CCUUUGCCAUUUCCAUGGCUUAGAAGCAAGUCACGGGUCCUAACUCACACUCAAGAGGAGGGAGCCACACAAAGCAAUGACCAUCAGGGGAAGAGAUUAGGGGUGCCACCUUAGAGUUUGCCACACGGUCUUCCUAAGAAAACCAAGAUCUAGAAUUUCUAGUAGAAUUUUCUUUUGUUCGUCUAAGAAUCAAUUGAUUCUUAAUUCUAAGCUUGAAGUGUAACUGCAUUUUUAUGGGCAGAAAGAUCAACCGUGUGAACCAAGCUGAGUAUCUUCACCAGCCCCUGAGUUGCUGCACUGUGAACUGGGUAUACAGACUGCUAAUGCUUUGUUAGGAGUUCUUUCAACAUGGAAACUACUUGAUACAUCAGCUUUGAAGCAAUGCGGCAUACGCAUGCUCUAGAAAGGUAAAAUGCUAAGGUCUGUCCUGCUGAAGAGUCCAGUGGCCACACCAGUUUCACAUUACACAGAACACAGCUUCUUCACAACCUCUGACCAUCUCCAUCCUCUGAAGUGGUCCACUGGAUCUAAUGUCCCAACAUGCUGUGCUAUUUGUAACAUGCUGAGGGCUCUGCCCCACUUACAUUCUUUACCUCUUCUAUAUGAUGCAUUAAAAUAUUUUGUGAUCCAUAACGAGUCUGAUUUGUUAAAUUAUUCAUUUACCCAAAUGUUUAUGAGCAUCUAUUACAGGGAAGUCUUGGUGACAGGUGGCAGAAUUUAAAGGAGAUACAUGAUAGUCAUUGCUUUGCCUCCUCUGAGCUAAAUAUCCUGCAAAGGAGACAGGUGCAUUACAUUAGAAAUUACAGUAAUAAUUAUUAAAAAGCCAAGAAACAACAGAUGCUGGUGAGGCUGUAGAGAAAUAGGAAUGCUUUUACAUUGUUGGUGGGAAUGUAAAUUAGUUCAACUAUUAUGGAAGACAUUGUGACAAUUCCUCAAGGAUCUAGAACCAGAAACACCAUUUGGCCCAGCAAUCCCAUUACUGGGUAUAUACCCAAAGGAAUAUAAGUCAUUCUGUUAUAAAGAUACAUGCACACGUAUGUUUAUUGCAACACUAUUCACAAUAGCAAAGACAUGGAACCAACCGAAAUGCCCAUCGAUGACAGACUGGAUAAAGAAAAUGUGGUACACACACACCACUCUAUGUGUAUGAUAUACACUAUGUGU
rnacentral:lncRNA from 1 species